ACUAAACGGCUCCAAUCUUUCCUCCAACUAUGAUUAUGUUCCUUUGGAGGAGAGACUCUUGGGCCGUGGGGUUCAAGGCUCUAAUUAAAGGUUGAAGUUGGUGCCUGGUAGAUAGUACUGAUAGCCCCAGUGGAGUUAGUGCUUUCCUAAAUCAACGAAUAGGUAUCGCAAUCCAGCGAAAUGCUGGCAAUAUUAAAGAUACCGAUUCGUUGCCGGGAAUAUUAUAAUAAUAUUGAAAUCGGCAAAACGGCUAUGAUCAAUGUAGUUAGGAAGAUGGCAACUUUCAAACGGUGGGCAUAUGGCAUGCAUGGACAAAACCUGAUGGACCUGGAGGGCUCUUAUAUAGAGAUGUUGUUCUGCAAGAGACAGCGUGGCCAUUGAACGAUGAUAUUCUUAUCUAUAUUGGUUGUGAUUGGUUGAUUUAUUGGACGUGUUGAAUGAAUCUAAAGGAAACCAAAUGGACCUGAAAAAUGGCUUAUGAUAGUUAAAAUCUACGUUUUACUUGCCGUUCUAUGACUUUUUGGAAGAAGAGAGUACAAUCACAAAUCCAAAGGAUUUAAUUGGAAUCACAAAGGUAGAUCAUGGCCACCAAUCCUAGUAUCCUUGGCAACGGCGUCAUAAGUCAUUUAGGCCACGUCAACCCUACAGCUAAACUGCUGCAGUAUUGACGUUGCCUGCGGCUCAGUAUAUAGCCAAAGACAGGACAGUGAUGACUUAAGAAAUAAAUCAU